CCCUUAGAUGUUCUGGGCCGCACGCGCGCUACACUGACGAUGGCAACGAGUUUUUCCUUCGCCGAAAGGUGUGGGUAAUCUUUUGAAACAUCGUCGUGCUGGGGAUAGAUCAUUGCAAUUUUUGAUCUUGAACGAGGAAUUCCUAGUAAGCGCGAGUCAGCAGCUCGCGUUGAUUACGUCCCUGCCCUUUGUACACACCGCCCGUCGCUACUACCGAUUGAAUGGUUUAGUGAGGACUCCUGAUUGGCGCCGCCGCCCCGGCAACGGAGCAGCGGACUGCCGAAAAGUUGUUCAAACUUGAUCAUUUAGAGGAAGUAAAAGUCGUAACA
rnacentral:rRNA from 1 species